rnacentral:ncRNA from 1 species
GCACUGAAACGGCACCCCCGUGCGAAAGCCGGGCCCGCAAAGUCACCGGUCUACCGGUACCGAGAGCAUGUCUCGGCACCCACGACAGCGGGACUGCCACG